UACGGAAGGCAGCAGUGGGGAAUAUUGCACAAUGGGCGCAAGCCUGAUGCAGCCAUGCCGCGUGUAUGAAGAAGGCCUUCGGGUUGUAAAGUACUUUCAGUCGUGAGGAAGGUGUUAAGGUUAAUAACCUUAGCAAUUGACGUUAGCGACAGAAGAAGCACCGGCUAACUCCGUGCCAGCAGCCGCGGUAAUACGGAGGGUGCGAGCGUUAAUCGGAAUUACUGGGCGUAAAGGGCACGCAGGCGGUUAAUUAAGUUGGAUGUGAAUCCCCGGGCUUAACCUGAGAAUGGCAUUCAAGACUGGUUAGCUAGAGUCUUGUAGAGGGGGUAGAAUUCCAUGUGUAGCGGUGAAAUGCGUAGAGAUGUGGAGGAAUACCGGUGGCGAAGGCGGCCCCUGGGACAAAGACUGACGCUCAUGUGCGAAAGCGUGGGGAGCAAACAGGAUUAGGAUACC
rnacentral:rRNA from 1 species